CAGAGGUCCCGAGCGUUGUUCGGAUUCACUGGGCGUAAAGGGUGCGUAGGUGGCGAGGUAAGUCGGAUGUGAAAUCUCCAAGCUCAACUUGGAAAUGGCAUUGGAAACUACCUGGCUAGAGGUUUGGAGGGGGGACUGGAAUUCUCGGUGUAGCAGUGAAAUGCGUAGAUAUCGAGAGGAACACCAGUGGCGAAGGCGAGUCCCUGGACAACACCUGACACUGAGGCACGAAAGCUAGGGGAGCAAACAGGAUUAGAUACCCUGGUAGUCCUAGCCGUAAACGGUGCUUGCUUGCUGUAAAAGGAAUCGACCCCUUUUGUGGCGAAGCCAACGCGUUAAGCAAGCCGCCUGGGAAGUACGGUCGCAAGAUUA
rnacentral:rRNA from 1 species